rnacentral:pre_miRNA from 12 species
GCCCGAGCGAGGGGCACCUCGAGGACUGUCUAACCUGAGAAUGGUGAAACAUGAAGGUCAAUCUCAGGUUCGUCAGCCCAUGAGAUGCCUUUUCCAGAGCG